GCCGGAAUUGCUAGUAAUGGCAGGUCAGCAUACUGCCGUGAAUACGUUCCCGGGCCUUGUACACACCGCCCGUCACACCAUGAGAGUUGGGAAUACCCGAAGCCUGUGAGCUAACAUUAUGAGGCAGCAGUCGAAGGUAGAAUCAAUGAUUGGGGUGAAGUCGUAACAAGGUAUC
rnacentral:rRNA from 1 species